rnacentral:rRNA from 1 species
AUUGAACGCUGGCGGCAGGCCUAACACAUGCAAGUCGAGCGGAGCGGCGGACGGGUGAGUAAUGCCUAGGAAUAUGCCUGGUAGUGGGGGAUAACGUCCGGAAACGGGCGAUAAUACCGCAUACUAUAAGAUUAGCCUAGGGCGGAUUAGCUAGUUGGGGGGGUAAAGGCCUACAAAGGCGACGGUCCGUAACUGGUCUGAGAGGAUGAUCAGUCACACGUGAACUGAGACACGGUCCAGACUCCUACGGGAGGCAGCAGUGGGGAAUAUUGGACAAUGGGCGAAAGCCUGAUCCAGCCAUGCCGCGUGUGUGAAGAAGGUCUUCGGAUUGUAAAGCACUUUAAGUUGGGAGGCGUUACCAACAGAAGAAGCACCGGCUAACUUCGUGCCAGCCGCCGCGGUAAUUC